rnacentral:rRNA from 1 species
GGGGACGUAACAAAGCGACCCAGGAAUACUUGGGCGUGCCUCCACCCACGCCGGCGUCGGCGGGCGUAUUUCGCCUCACAGUAGGUCGCCGCGACCCGUUGCUUUUGGGGACGUCGAAGGCCCGGACGGAUUGGUACCCUACCGGCUGGGGAUGCGGCUUCGGCUUCUCCUCUUGUCCGGUGGGCGAAACCGCCGGUGUCCUGGCUGCCCUGCGACGGUCGUAGAGACGAGCCCUCCCCCAUUCGUGGGGGGGCGGCUCUCGCGGCGUGCAAAAGGUCGGUGAUCCACCCGACCCGUCUUGAAACACGGACCAAGGAGUCUAACAUGUGUGCGAGUCAGUGGGCGCACUAAACCCAGAGGCGUAAUGAAAGUGACACGGGUUCGGCUGUCGCCUCGUGUGGCAGCCGGACUCAGGGCCGAUCCCUCACCGGUUGCCCUCGCCUCUCUCCCGCGUCUCGGUAAGCCGGGUGAGCUAUUUUCCCCGGCCAAUGCUGCGGGGCUCGGGGGGAGGCGGGGUUGCGAUGGUGUCCGUAAAAAAGAGCCUGCUGUUGCAGGGGGGCGCAGGCCCGGGACUUGCCAGGACGCCGCGAGACUGUCACUUUGCUGUGAGGCUCUAGGGCCGAUCAGCGGGUCAUGCGUGCAGUCGGCAAGUACCAUGAGCAGACAUGUUGGGACCCGAAAGAUGGUGAACUAUGCCUGGCCAGGAUGAAGCCAGAGGAAACUCUGGUGGAGGUCCGUAGCGAUUCUGACGUGCAAAUCGAUCGUCGGAGCUGGGUAUAGGGGCGA